UACGAAGGGGCUAGCGUUGCUCGGAAUCACUGGGCGUAAAGGGUGCGUAGGCGGGUCUUUAAGUCAGGGGUGAAAUCCUGGAGCUCAACUCCAGAACUGCCUUUGAUACUGAAGAUCUUGAGUUCGGGAGAGGUGAGUGGAACUGCGAGUGUAGAGGUGAAAUUCGUAGAUAUUCGCAAGAACACCAGUGGCGAAGGCGGCUCACUGGCCCGAUACUGACGCUGAGGCACGGAAAGCGUGGGGAGCAAACAGG
rnacentral:rRNA from 1 species